rnacentral:rRNA from 1 species
UACGUAGGGAGCAAGCGUUGUCCGGAUUUACUGGGUGUAAAGGGUGCGUAGGCGGCUUUGCAAGUCAGAUGUGAAAUCUAUGGGCUCAACCCAUAAACUGCAUUUGAAACUGUAGAGCUUGAGUGAAGUAGAGGCAGGCGGAAUUCCCCGUGUAGCGGUGAAAUGCGUAGAGAUGGGGAGGAACACCAGUGGCGAAGGCGGCCUGCUGGGCUUUAACUGACGCUGAGGCACGAAAGCGUGGGUAGCAAACAGGAUUAGAUACCCCAGUGGCUGACUGACU